UAUAACAUCACACACGCUCAUCCUGACCAAACGCACGUAAGAAGAAAGAUGCGCACACUCGCACCCUGAGCGGAGACGUGCGCCUGAGUGGAAACGCGCGUGAGAAAAAAGAAAAAAGGAGCAAACGCCUGAGCGUACACGCCCACACACGUGUUGGUAAAAAGUGAGAAUUUUCCGAAAAUUUGGCUAUGACUUCGCGUCUUUGGAUUUUCCACAACAGAACAGAACAUCUACGAUCUUCUAAGCAUUGAGAGCACGGCCUUUUCAAUAGAACAAGACCAGCCUAUCUGACGCAAUUGUCUGUGAAAACGUAUCAAACAAACGCGACCCUUCCAGGACAGUUGUAUUGAGAUUAUUUCCGGCGACGAGUCUUCUACAACGCACGUGCUAGGCCUAAGAACGGGGGAACAUCCGGGGUCUAUCCAAAAGUCGAUAGCUGUAGUAACCCCCACAGCUCAGACCAGUUUCUCAAACUACGGAAGACACCGGAACAACGUCUGACUACUCUGACUCCGAUAGUUCAGAUUUUUUGGAUACCGUCAUUGAAGGAGUAAGAAACUACAAUCAAUCCCUUGAAGAAAAUUUCAACAUUGGAGACACUCUUCAGGAUUUUUUUCAGCUAAGGGAUAGAAUAACUGAAAAUGUUGAGCAUGUCUACAGUGAGUAUGUUCAAUCCUUGCAUAAUACUCUGGAAUCCUUAAAUUGGUGUGUUAUGGUGAAUAAAGAAUUGUUAAGACAAUAUUAUUUUAGAAAUGGCUCAGAAGCGUUCGAGUAAUUCUCCCUCUUCAGAAGCUAAAAAAAUUAGAAUUGAAAAUGACCCUACAUCAUCACAUGAUCUCUGCUUUGGUGAAACUUCGACUUUUUCAAGUAGUCUGUCCCUUUUUGACCCGUACACAACCCUGAAUCCCUUUUUAACCGAUGCAAUCAAUGAGUUGAAUGAUGGUUUAAGAUCGACACUUAGACACGAUAUUCAGAGCCCUAAUCCGGGGUUGACCGAUAGUUUAACAGCGACACAAUCACAGCUGCCUCAUCAUGACGUGUUCUUAGAGUUGAAUCAGAGUCUGUUAACAUUGCAUAUUCAAAUAAAGAAAGUAAAAUAAAUCACACAACUAACAUUACCUGAGCUUAUAACUCCACAAUGCGCUUAUAUACAUCAAUAUCAAGAAAAUGACCAUUUUACAUGACAGUACAUGCCUUCUAACAAAUAACCAACAUUCUGAAAGCAUUAUGAUUCAUUUAAAAAGCAUUAUUAUGAACUCAUGGGACUUUAAACUGGAAUGUAAGGCAC